GGGCCCGCACAAGCGGUGGAGCAUGUGGUUUAAUUCGAUGAUACGCGAGGAACCUUACCAGGGCUUAAAUGUAGUGGGACAGGUCUAGAGAUAGACCCUUCUUCGGACUCAUUACAAGGUGCUGCAUGGUUGUCGUCAGCUCGUGCCGUGAGGUGUCAGGUUAAGUCCUAUAACGAGCGCAACCCCUAUCGUUAGUUGCCAGCGAGUAAUGUCGGGAACUCUAACGAAACUGCCAGUGCAAACUGUGAGGAAGGUGGGGAUGACGUCAAAUCAUCACGGCCCUUACGUCCUGGCUACACACGUGCUACAAUGGCUAGGACAGACGGCUGCAAACCCGCGAGGGGGAGCC
rnacentral:rRNA from 1 species